rnacentral:rRNA from 1 species
UAAGGAAUAUUGGUCAAUGGGGGCAACCCUGAACCAGCCAUGCCGCGUGCAGGAAGACGGCCCUACGGGUUGUAAACUGCUUUUUCACGGGAGUAAACCCCAUUACGAGUAAUGGGCUGCAAGUACCGUGCGAAUAAGGAUCGGCUAACUCCGUGCCAGCAGCCGCGGUAAUACGGAGGAUCCGAGCGUUAUCCGGAAUUAUUGGGUUUAAAGGGUGCGUAGGCGGCGUGCUAAGUCAGGGGUGAAAGACGGUGGCUCAACCAUCGCAGUGCCUUUGAUACUGGCGCGCUUGAAUACAGAUGAGGUGGGCGGAAUGAGGCAAGUAGCGGUGAAAUGCAUAGAUAUGCCUCAGAACACCGAUUGCGAAGGCAGCUCACUAAACUGUGAUUGACGCUGAUGCACGAAAGCGUGGGGAUCGAACAGG